rnacentral:tRNA from 1 species
UUCAGUGUGGAAUAGUGGUUUGAGCAUUGGACUACAACUCUGGAGACCAGGGUUCAAAUCCCUGCUCAGCCA